UACGGAAGGUCCGGGCGUUUUCCGGAUUUAUUGGGUUUAAAGGGAGCGCAGGCUGAUGGUUAAGCGUGACGUGAAAUGUAGCCGCUCAACGGCUGAACUGCGUCGCGAACUGGCUAUCUUGAGUGGGUACGACGUCAGCGGAAUUCGUGGUGUUGCGGUGAAAUGCUUAGAUAUCACGAAGAACCCCGAUUGCGAAGGCAGCUGGCGAGUCCUCUACUGACGCUAAAGCUCGAAGGUGCGGGUAUCGAAC
rnacentral:rRNA from 1 species